rnacentral:lncRNA from 1 species
CAAGAGAUCUUUUCGCAGUUGCUUGACAAUGGAUAGAAAGGCAAAUUCUAGUUGCUACACGGGGUAAGUAUAUCGCCACGUCUGGUUUAUAAAAAGAUUGCGGCACUCACAUUUGUUAACAAUUGAACAAACCUGUUAAAAAUAGAGCUUGUUGGCAAGAUGGUUGGGCGCGUGUGAUGCAAUGAAACCGCACUGUCCGAAAAAAACUACUUAAGUUGACGUUGCACAGUAACGAAAAAAAACUGAAUUAGUUUACUUUACUGGCACGUGCCAUCUACUAGCAAGAGGUUAGCAUAUCAUCACAUAUGGAUUAUAAAAAGAUUAUUACACUAACAAUUUCAAUAAUGUGAUAUGAUCAGCCAUGACAAACGUCUGGUCACGUUUAUGAACCUCGAAUAAUGAAGUAAGAUCUGUUCAUGAGUGAAAUUCCUGCGUUUGGGUUUAUUGUUUACCCGAGGCAAAUACUUUAAUCAUGGUUUCCCCCUUAAAUUGAGGAUUGCGAAAGGAAACGAAUUCUGUUGUAGCUAAUAGUAAAAUUCAAAUACUGUUUUGAACAUUCUUGAGUUGAGCAUCAUUUUUCACGUUCCUGAGGGUUUCUUGAUGUCUUCGUGUCUAGACGGUAAUAGAAGGUCAGCCAGGGCAUCGAUUUGACACACGCUACGUGCUUAAAAUUAUUGGGAAUCGAGAACAGGAUGUGUUUUCCCGGGACAAAAACAGUAAAUUCCCGUCAAUUCUUACCGACGUGAGGAAAUCAUAUCACGACCACACUCCAACAUCUCGAAGAGCAUGCGCUCUCCUCACCUGAUUGGCGUGGUUAGGUAGACAAGCUACGAAAGGUAUCGAUAAUUACCUUGCAGCACGCGACUUCAAUUGACUCUAAGAUUCCUCUUCAAAGUGAAGUGAGACAGAUGCUGCCAGAAAGGAAAAUCGGCAGACAGAACGAGGAAACCCUCUUAGAUUUUGUUCACAAGGAGAAUCCGAACGAAGAUUGGUUGUAUUUGGAAACAGAAGUUGGUACGAGACAUCAGGAAGUGAUACAUUGGCACCUGAAGGCGGAAAGCUUGUAGAAAGCACUAACCAAGAAUUCCUCUUGACCCUGUUGGCAUUGCUGAGCCUCUUGGUUGUGUUUGUAUGGCUAUCAUGUUGUCAGUGCGAGAUGAAAAUCUGAAACU